UACGUAGGUGGCGAGCGUUGUCCGGAUUUACUGGGCGUAAAGGGAGCGUAGGCGGACAGUUAAGUGAGAUGUGAAAUACUCGGGCUCAACUUGAGUGCUGCAUUUCAAACUGGAAGUCUAGAGUGCAGGAGAGGAGAAUGGAAUUCCUAGUGUAGCGGUGAAAUGCGUAGAGAUUAGGAAGAACACCAGUGGCGAAGGCGAUUCUCUGGACUGUAACUGACGCUGAGGCUCGAAAGCGUGGGGAGCAAACAGG
rnacentral:rRNA from 1 species